rnacentral:tRNA from 1 species
CCUUCGAUAGCUCAGCUGGUAGAGCGGAGGACUGUAGUGCUCUUUCUGACGUAGUCAUCCUUAGGUCGCUGGUUCGAUUCCGGCUCGAAGGA